rnacentral:lncRNA from 1 species
CAAGGAAUAAUAACUUUUGCUCAUGGAGUUGGAAUUUGACAAAUCAUAUGUGCUUUUUGGGUAGAAAACGUGAGCUAUCCAAUGCUCCUAGCUAUUUCUAAAAGGUAAGACCUCUAAAUCCAAAAAAAAGAUCGUUUACUAUUUCUUUUUUAUUUUUGAAGUUUUAUUUUUACCGUUUUUCACACUUUCCUGUGUUGAUUGACAUAGUUUCACUUUGAGUUUUGCUUCGAAUUUUUUUUUGCUAUCUUUCAGCCCAUUUUGAAUUGAUUUGCAUAUACUUUAUAUUUACCCCCCUAUGUUUUCAGUGUCUUGACUUUUGCUGAUAGAGUUGACUUACUACAUCACUAGGGUCAAUCUUGGGCCAUUACCAUCCUUUGAUCCUGAAUUUGGUAGGACUUUUCAUAGAUUAUAUAGGAAUUUUAGGAAUUUGUAGUCUUUGCAUUUAGAUAGCUUUAGUUCAUAAUUCAUUGCAUUCUCCUUCUCCUUGUCUACCUAUUUCAGUUUUAUGUAUACUACUAAUUCUGCCAGUGCCCCUAAUUAUGAUUCUCCUUCUGCAUCUAACUCUGGUUAUGGCUCUCAUGUCUAUU